rnacentral:rRNA from 1 species
GACGUAGGGCGCGAGCGUUGUCCGGAUUUAUUGGGCGUAAAGAGCUCGUAGGCGGCUUGUCGCGUCGGCUGUGAAAUCCCGUGGCUCAACUGCGGGCUGGCAGCCGAUACGGGCAGGCUAGAGUUCGGUAGGGGAGACUGGAAUUCCUGGUGUAGCGGUGAAAUGCGCAGAUAUCAGGAGGAACACCGGUGGCGAAGGCGGGUCUCUGGGCCGAUACUGACGCUGAGGAGCGAAAGCGUGGGGGAGCGAACAGG